rnacentral:rRNA from 2 species
UCCUACGGGAGGCAGCAGUGGGGAAUAUUGCACAAUGGGCGAAAGCCUGAUGCAGCAACGCCGCGUGAGCGAUGAAGGCCUUCGGGUCGUAAAGCUCUGUCCUAUGGGAAGAUAAUGACGGUACCAUAGGAGGAAGCCCCGGCUAACUACGUGCCAGCAGCCGCGGUAAUA